rnacentral:sRNA from 1 species
GAUUGGUCCCAACCUGUAGAAUGUUAUUUAUUAUCUUCAAUUCAGAAAGAUUUUUAGAAAGGAAAUAUCAUUUUUUACAAUUUUAAACCAUAUAAUUUAUAUAAAAAUUGUAUAUGCAUGAAGGCUUUAAUUAUCUUCAAUUCAGAAAGAUUUUUAGAAAAGAAAAUAUAAUUUUUUACAAUUUUAAACCAUAUAAGUUUUAUAAAAAUUGUAUAUGCAUGAAGGCUUUAAUUGCCCCAACCCCCACCCCCUUAAAAUGAACAUCAUAUUUUUAUUGUUCUUAUAUGUUUUCUUCGUAUAUAUGUACUUGUGAAUUUUUUAUAUGAUUAUAAUUUUCAUCCAAAUGACCUUAAUUUUGAACUAUGACAUCAGUGAGUCACUGCCAUUUUUGUUGGGGUUUUUGCAUUAUUUAAUGCUUAUUUUAAGGAAGUUUUUCUUUCAGAAAACAUAGAGCGCAUAGUUGUACAGAAAACACAUAUUCAUCGACGUAUAGCUGACAGAAAUAUUUUUAUAUGCUUUUUUAUUUUAAAUAAAAGAAGAAAAAAUAUUUUAUUAUGCUCUGACACUUGUAGGGGUCUACCAAGUGAUUAAACCCGGGUGCAUAUUUCAUCAUUUAAUUGAAUGCUUUAUUAUACAUGUACCUUGACUAUCUAGUGACGUCAUGCGUGACGUAAUCGCCCUAAUUAUAGGAAGUGUCGGUACUGCGCCUGCACCAACAACGCCAGCUUAUGAAUAAAAAAAAAUAU